rnacentral:rRNA from 1 species
UACGUAGGUCGCAAGCGUUGUCCGGAUUUACUGGGCGUAAAGAGCGCGCAGGCGGCUGGUCAAGUCCGAUGGGAAAUCUCCCGGCUCAACUGGGAAACUGCAUCGGAAACUGAUCGGCUUGAAGAUGGGAGAGGGUAGUGGAAUUCCAGGUGUAGCGGUGAAAUGCGUAGAUAUCUGGAGGAACACCGGUGGCGAAGGCGGCAUCCUGGACCGACACUGACGCUGAGGAGCGAAAGCCAGGGGAGCAAACGGG